ensembl:lncRNA
CACUAAGUUUUUCCCCUGUCCCCCUCCCCACCCUACGUAAGGGGAGGAGGACAGAUCUGACUUUCCUUUCUUAUGUACGUAGUAUAGUAUAGAAAUAUAGAUGGAAGUUAUCCUCGCUGCAAGCAGCAGCAAAGAGGUGACCUCCUCUCUAACCACUGUAAGGGGAGGAGGACACACCUGACUUUUUUUUUCUCCAUAGUAAAUGAGGAUAGAAGUUAUCCUCGCUGCGAGCAGCAGCAAAGAGGUGACCUCCUCUCCAGCCACCAUAUGGGGAGGAGGACACACCUGACUUUUAUUUUUUCCAUAUUAAAUGAGGAUAGAAGUUAUCCUCGCUGCAAGCAGCAGCAAAGAGGUGUCCUCCUCCCCGACCACCAUAAGGGGAGCAGGACAGAUCUCGCUUUUCUUUUUUUUUUUCUCCACAGAAAAUGAGGAUAGAAAUUAUCCUCACUGCAAAGCAGCAACAACAAAGGGUGCGGAGGCCCCAACAGAGAUUACUCCGCUCCAUGGAGCCCUCCCUCAACCUUCACCAAGGUUGAGGCUGGAGACAAUCCAACCCCUCCAUCACAGAGGAGUUGGAACGGUGGAUGCAGAGGCCUCAACUCCUCCGCUCCACCUACCUUACUAUACCUUAACAUACUAUACCUUAACCUACUCUACCUUAACCUACUGUACCUUAUCCUACACUACCUUACCCUACUCUACCCCAGAACUACACCAAAUUUAUCUCCUGUCCCCCUUCCCACACCACAUAAGGGGAAGAGGACAGAUAUGACUUUCCUCUCUUAUAUUAAUUAAUUAUAUAUAUAUAUAUAAUAAUAUAUAUCAUUAAUAAUUAUUAUAUAUCAUUAAGAUAAUAAUUAUAUAUCAUUAAGUUAAUGAGGAUAUCCUCAAAAUUUGGAAAUUAUCCACAUAGACAUCAGUUCCUCCAGGCCUCAACAAGGUUGAGGCUGGAGACAAUCCAACCCCUCCAUCACGGAGGAGUUGGAACGGUGGAUGCGGAGACCUCAACUCCUCCGCUCCACCAAUCCUACUCUACCUUACCCUACUCUAACUUAACCUACUCUACAUUAUCCUACUCUACGUUAUCCUACUCUACGUUGUCCUACUCUACUCCAGAACCCCGCCAAAUUUAUGUCAGACUUAUCCUGUCCCCCUCCCCACCCCACAUAAGGGGAGGAGGACAGAUGGGAUUUUCCUCUCGUAUAUACACAGUAAAUGAGGAUAUUCUCCUCAAAUCUCUAAACCGUCCACAUAGACCUCAAACUUCCUCCAGCCAUCUCCAACAACACAAACCUGAUCCUAGCCGAAGACCUGCAGCAACGAUGGGUGCGGAGGCCCCGCCACAAACUCCGCUCCAGGCAAACCUCCAGGCCUCAACAAGGUGAGCACAAACAGAGAUGAUCCUCUCCCCCCACCCUCCCCGGUAAUGGGAAGUGCACAGAGUUAAUCUGAGCCUUCAUCUCCACACAGGUUGAGGCUGGAGACAAUCCAACCCCUCCAUCACGGAGGAGUUGGAACAACGGCGGCGGCCUCAACUACUCUGCUCCACCUACCCUUACCCUACCUUACCUUACCCCAGACCCCACUAAGUUUUUCCCCUGUCCCCCUCCCCACCCUACGUAAGGGGAGGAGGACAGAUCUGACUUUCCUUUCUUAUGUACGUAGUAUAGUAUAGAAAUAUAGAUGGAAGUUAUCCUCGCUGCAAGCAGCAGCAAAGAGGUGACCUCCUCUCUAACCACUGUAAGGGGAGGAGGACACACCUGACUUUUUUUUUUUAUUUCCUCCAUAAAUGAGGAUAGAAGUUAUCCUCGCUGCGAGCAGCAGCAAAGAGGUGACCUCCUCUC